GCUCUCUCUAUCUCUUUCGCUCGUUCUCCUCUUUCUUCAACCCGCAAGCUGCUUUUGGUUUUCUCUAAUUAUGUGAAAAUCUGAGAGAAUUCUGCUUCUUAUCCUUUUUCUUUUCCUUUUCUGUUUUCAAUUUGUUGACGAUGGUCAACCUGAAAAGGUAGUGAACUGGAAUCAAGAACAAGAUCAAGCUGAGGAACCCUAGAUUUCUGAUUCGAGCUCGAAAGAGGAACCCUACUUGCAGAGUGAUUAUGUUAAGAUGCCGGUUCGAUCUAUUGGUGCUGUAAGGAUAUUGAUGAAAUAUUAGACUUCAUGGCCAAAGACAUACAUCUUCUUCAUCUGCAAAUGGUUUAUGGAUGGCCCAAGAUCAACAUAGAAAAUACUCAAAUCCAAACAUCUCUCGGUCUGGUUCUACAAAGGGUACCCUUCUUGCUGGUGGGUCUGCUAAAGGUUUAUUUAGUAUUGAAGAAGACAACAAGGAAGCAGAAGCAGAUGAGGAAUCAGAUGCUGCACGUUUUGUGCAUCAUUAGCAUUGAAUUUGUCUUCUAGCUUCUGAAAGCAACAUGUGACAAAUGGCAAAGAUAUACAAAUCUCUCUUUCCUCUGUCCUGAAGCUGAAAGGGGUGGAUAAAAUUGGGGACUACAUUUUGUUUCUGCAUGCACUCAAAUAUUUGGAACAACUGGCAUUAAAAUAAAAAUAA